CUGAAAGAAAUUCCAACAAUCGUGGAUUAUGGCACGGAUAAAAGACUUGGUUGUGAAGAUUGCAAAAACUCAGAGAUAGUGGACAAAUUCUUUACAGAAUGA